UAGGGAAUCUUGCACAAUGGGCGAAAGCCUGAUGCAGCGACGCCGCGUGGGGGAUGAAGGCCUUCGGGUUGUAAACCCCUUUCAGUAGGGACGAAAAUGACGGUACCUACAGAAGAAGCUCCGGCCAACUACGUGCCAGCAGCCGCGGUAACACGUAGGGAGCAAGCGUUGUCCGGAUUUAUUGGGCGUAAAGAGCUCGUAGGUGGUUCGGUAAGUCGGAUGUGAAAACUCAAGGCUCAACCUUGAGACGCCAUCCGAUACUGCUGUGACUUGAGUUCGGUAGAGGAGUGUGGAAUUCCUGGUGUAGCGGUGAAAUGCGCAGAUAUCAGGAGGAACACCGACAGCGAAGGCAGCACUCUGGGCCGAUACUGACACUGAGGAGCGAAAGCAUGGGGAGCAAACA
rnacentral:rRNA from 1 species